GCCCCUGUAGCUCAGUAUGGAUAGAGCAGCGGUUUCCUAAACCGUUUGCCGGACGUUCGAACCGUCUCAGGGGCACCA
rnacentral:tRNA from 2 species